GACGAACGAUGGCGGCGUGCCUAAUACAUGCAAGUUGAGCGCUGAAGGUUGGUACUUGUACCAACUGGAUGAGCAGCGAACGGGUGAGUAACGCGUGGGGAAUCUGCCUUUGAGCGGGGGACAACAUUUGGAAACGAAUGCUAAUACCGCAUAAAAACUUUAAACACAAGUUUUAAGUUUGAAAGAUGCAAUUGCAUCACUCAAAGAUGAUCCCGCGUUGUAUUAGCUAGUUGGUGAGGUAAAGGCUCACCAAGGCGAUGAUACAUAGCCGACCUGAGAGGGUGAUCGGCCACAUUGGGACUGAGACACGGCCCAAACUCCUACGGGAGGCAGCAGUAGGGAAUCUUCGGCAAUGGACGAAAGUCUGACCGAGCAACGCCGCGUGAGUGAAGAAGGGUUUCGGAUCGUAAAACUCUGUUGGUAGAGAAGAACGUUGGUGAGAGUGGAAAGCUCAUCAAGUGACGGUAACUACCCAGAAAGGGACGGCUAACUACGUG
rnacentral:rRNA from 1 species